GUAUCUCGCUGUGUCUCCCAGGCCGGAAUGCAGUGGCGUGAUCACAGCUCAAUCAUAGCUCACAGGCUCAAGCGAUCCUCCUACCUCAGCCUCCUUAGUAGCGCCUACAGGUGCAUGCCACCGUGCCCGGCUAAUUUUUCUGUAGAGAUGGUGUGUCACCACGUUGCCCAGGCUGGUCUCCAGCUCCUGAGCUCAAGUGAUCCUCCUACCUCAGCCUCCCAAAGUGCUGGGAUUACAGGCAUGAGGCACCAUGCCCAGCCCAAGAAUGUUUUUAAAUUGACUAAACACUGCUUAUUUGAGGGACCAUGGGAGAAAAAAAAAUUGCGAGGUGGCUUAUAGAUUUCAAACUAUAGUGAUUCUGGUGGAUCGAGCUGUCUUUCUUGAGGAGAGAAAGUUACGCCAAAGGCCACGAGCUAGACUGAGCUGUCUGGGUGUCUGGGUAGGGACGCAGCUCACCAGGGCUUGCCCUCUUUAGAUGCCCUCUGCAGGCAGUCUAGGGACUUCUCUCAAGAUGUCCAGUUUGAUUAAUUGCAUGAUGACAGUGUGCUUGGUGCCAUGAGGGGUAUAAAGAUUCAACAGAGGCUGGGCGUGGUGGUUCACGCCUGUAAUCCCAGCACUUUGGGAGGCCAGGGCGAGCAGAUCACCUGAGGUCAGGAGUUCGAGACCAGCCUGUCCAACAUGGUGAAACCCCGUCUCUACCACUAAAAAUACAAAAAUUAGCCUGGUGUGGUAGCACAUGCCUGUAAUUCCAGCUACUCAGGAGGCUGAGGCACGAGAAUCACUUGAACCCAGGAGAUCGAGGUUGCAGUGAGUCAAAAUUGCACCACUGCACUCCAGCCUGGCGACAGAGUGAGACUCUGUCUCAAGAAAACUAAGCACAGGCUGGGCACGGUGGCUCACGCCUGUAAUCCCAGCACUUUGAGAGGCCGAGGCGGGUGGAUCAUGAAGUCAGGAGAUCAACACCAUCCUGGCUAACAUGGUGAAACCCCGUCUCUACUAAAAACACAAAAAAUUAGCCGGGCAUGUUGAUAGGCACCUGUAGUCCCAGCUACUCGGGAGGCUGAGGCAGGAGAAUGGUGUGAACCCGGGAGGCGGAGCCUGCAAUGACCGUGGAUCACGCUACUGCACUCCAGCGUGGGUGACAGAGCGAGACUCCGUCUCAAAAAAAAAAAAUGUCUACUUAAGGGCCUCCUGGUGUUCUUGAGGAGAUGAGGAGCACCUUUGCAAUACGGAACACAGCUUUAUAUCCAAUGAAAAUCUUACCCACUCACUGCAUGGGACACACAGUGGGUGCUAUGGCUGCUGAACAGAAGAUCGAUAAGGCCUGGAAUGUCAAGAAAGCUUCCUGGAGAAGAUCUUGAGCAGGUACUUGAGGACUGGGCAGGUUUCUGAUAAGCAGAAAGUUCAGGAGAAAAAAAAGGGACAGUGGUAUUCAUCCAGAAAAUCGUAUGUCCUUUAUAUGUUUCACCCAGUGCUAGAAAUGUUGAUCAUCACUUUUAAAGAUAAUUCUAAAGUCACCUUGCAACAACCCUGUAUUUAUUUAAGAUCAUAUAUCAUAUAUGUGUACAUGUUUUUGUUUUGUUUUUUUGAGACUAAGUCUCGCUCUAUCGCCCAGGCUGGAGCGCAGUUGCGCCAUCUCGGCUCAUUGCAACCUCCACCUCCCGGGUUCAAGUGAUUCUCCUGCUUCAGCUUCCUGAGUAGCUGGGAUUACAGGCACCUGCCACCACACCCGGCUAAUUUUUGUAUUUUUAGUAGAGACAGGGUUUCACCAUGUUGGUCAGGCUGAUCUUGAACUCCUAACCUCAUGAUUCACCCACUUUGGCCUCCCAAAGUGCUGGGAUUACAGACGUGAGUCACCGUGCCCAGCCGUGUACAUGUAUUUUAAAAAGAAUAGAGCUCAAAAUGUUAAAGUACUUGUUUCUAGUUGGCAGGAAUAUGAGUGAUUCUUCUCUGCCUUUCAUACAUUUUCUGCAAUAAGCUAUAUUGCUGUUGGGCUGAUAAAAGUUGACAAAUUCAGCUUACCAAACCAAAACAGUACAGUUCAGUGAUCCCAUCCCAAAGCACUUACACAUCCAUGCGCACGGGCUUACAGAAACUGAGGCUUGCCAUUGUUCAGUCAUUUGUUAGUGUUCUGCUUUUAAUGAUUGCACCUUUUUGCUGCCCAUUCUGUUUUCCCAUCCAGUCUCGUGUCUUUCCAUGAUGGGUUUCCUGUGUGAUGGGAGUGUCUCCAUUAUCAUAGGGACAGGAUGGCUUGUUGCAGGGAGUAAGAGCGUCACAAGAGUGUCUGAGGCACUCAGGGAGUGUCAUGGAGAAAGGAGAGAGUGCUGGGAGGAGCUUGAUUUCAGUCUUUCUCCUUUCCCUUCCCCAGGCUCCAUGUCCUUUACAAAGUCCUUUGUGGGUAGAUAUUUGUUGGUUGGUUCAUGUUAGCAACUUUUCUAGAGAUCAUCCAGGGAGAGGUGCUUCUUAAGAAACAAGCCACCACAUAGGCCGUCAAGACUUUUAAAACUGGUUAGGAUUGAGUAACUGAACUAUUUAUUUGCAGUACUUUCUGCCUGUUGUGGGCAGUGUCUCUGAGGCCACACAGCGCUUUCAGACCUGCCUUGUGUUGCAGAACCCCAUGGACACUGAGGUUGAGCGUGGGGCCAUUCCUGCCUUCUCUGGGCUGUCCCUCAGUACACCUCUGCCUGGGGCUCCUGAGUGGCCACUCUCUUUUGCCUGUGGGCUUUGGGAAUAAAACUAGGAUAGUUUUCCCUCAGAUACUAGAGGAGGAAUUUUUUAUUGAUACAUAAUAAUUGUACAUAUUUAUGGGGUGCAUGUGUUAUUUUGAUGCAUGCAUGUAAUGCAUAAGGAUCAAAUUGGGGUAACUAGCAUAUCCAUCACUUCAAACAUUUAUCAUUUCCUUGGGUUUAGAACUUUCACAAUCCUCUUCUAGCUUUUUGAACAUGCGCAAUAAAUUAUUGUUAACAUUAGUCACCCUGCAGUGCUGAGGAACCCAAGAACUAUUCCUGUUACUCAGCUGUAAUGUUGAGUCCCUUAACCUCUCCCUCUCUCCCCUCCCAGCCACCCUUCCCACCCUCUAAUAACCAACUCUACGUUCUAAUUCUGUGAGUUCAAUUGUAUUUUUGCUUUUACAUAUGAGUGAGAACAUCUGGCAUGUGUCUUUCUGUGCCUGACUUAUUUCACUUAACAUAAUGUACCCCGGGCUCAUCAUGAUGCCACGACUGACAGGAUCUAAUUCUUUUUUUGUGGCUGGAUGGUAUUCCAUCUGAAACGAUGUAUUUUAGAUGAUUUUAAGACUUAAAUGGGUGCCUGCUAGUUUUCUUCCAGAAAUAUUUCAACCUGAUAUCAAAUGGCAUUUCACUCAUUUUCCUUUUAAGGGAAAUAAAUACAGUUAAGAUAUCAUAAAGUUUGGGAUGCUAGAAACCUAUCUGCAACACCGAAGAGAGUCUCUAACUCUUUAGAUUAAGUUUCAUUUCAGAGGGAGUUUCUUGAAGACAAUUAGAUGCAAAUAGCCUUCUCACAAUUACAACCUCAUUGUAAUUUCUGGACUUUGAUUCCAGUGUUUGGGAUGGUUUGGGCCCCUGGGAUGGGGUUGAUGGUGCAUAGGGAGAGAAUUUGUUUUGUUCAUUUCAUUAUUGUUAGGUAAUAAUCUUUUAGUGACUCUUCAGUUAUUUUUAGCAUAUGUAACAAAGCCACGGUAGCUCUGCCUUACUUUGAUAAUAAUCCCAAUAAGCAAUGCUAAUAUAAACAUGUAAAAAAUGUGCUAUUUUCUUUAUUUUAAACUAGCUUGAGAAAAUGUACAUUAUUUCUUUAUCACUGUCUUGCUUCUGUGGUAAUGAAUAAUUUCUUUUUGCCUGUGCAUUCAAGAAUUAGGAAAAAAAAUUGACAAGGCAAAAUGGCAUAUUAAGUACAAAUCCGUAUCUUUUUCUGGCCAAACUUUGUCUGUUUUCUCACUGUCUGUUGAAAGAAAAUCCAGUGCAUUUGUUCUAGAAGCUACAAAAUGGGAAGGAACUUCCCAGUUUCGUUAUCUUUACUUGCAUGUCAUGAUUGUUUUGUUUUUAGUAGUCUGGGGGAAAUUAGAUUGUAUUUUCCAUUUGAGCAGGAUAGAGGAUGAUAGUAGAAACAGUUCAUUUUGGCAUAUGAUAAUUUCACCAGGCCACCCCAACAAUUCAAAUACCCCAUUAUGACCUGGAAGCCUUUGAAUGCAGUUGGAGAAGCUUCAUCUAGUAGUUGUUAUUGCCAAGUGCUCCGUUUAGCCAUCAGUUAUGCAAAUCUAUUUGUGGAAUAGAAUGAAGCAUUUACUAAGCACUCCUCUUUUUCUAUAUUGGAGUCCUGUAUUUUAGAGGCAAUUGGUUAAAAUGUCUAGUUUGGCUUUUAAAUCCUACAGAUAUUUGGUAAUGAUGUACAUAAGUCCAUCAUUACUACUUAAGAGGAGUAAUUUUAAGCUACUAGUGUUUUUUAAAAGCUGCUUUUUAAAAAAAUGUUGGCUGCUAUUUUCAUGACUUUAUUCAGGCCUUAAUUAUUUGAGCUGCUGAAAAUAGCUAUAAUUUUUUGUAUGAUAUCUCCAAGUAGCUUAUUUGUAUUUGGCCAUGGCUUAUGUCAGAGGUGGAGUUAGUUUUGACUAAAAUCAUGAAGUUAGCAGACAGUUGGAAUCUGAAGCUUUACAGCCUUCUUUACAGGACACUACUGUGUGCCAACUUUGCAUCACUGUGCAGUGAGUGGGGGCCCUUAACCAAGCUAUUGGACUCAUGCAGCCAGGGUCCCAGAUUUGCUGCAGUAGGUCAAUCAUUCCAUAAGUGAAACACGCAGUAGAUGAUCAGAAAAUGACAAAUUCAUCAACUGUUUUCAUAAAGUAGAAAUCACUCUGCUCUGGGUGGAUUUAAGGAACAUGUGGGGUUCAGACCUGUCCUGUAGAAUCUCCCAAAGACCCAACUUAGCCAUGAGGGCUGAUUAGAGUAUAGAACCUCUUAAGAAAUGCCCUGGAUUUGUUGGCAAGAUGGCAAAUAGGAACAGCUCCGGUCUGCAGCUCCCAGCAAGAUUGGUGCGGAAGGCAGGUGAUUUCUGCAUUUCCACCUGAGGUACCCAGUUCAUCUCAUUGGGACUGGUUGGACAGUGGGUGCAGCCCAAGGAGGAUGAGCCAAAGCAGGGUGGGGCGUUGCCUCACCCGGGAAGCGCAAGGGGUUGGGGAACUCCCUCGCCUAGCCAAGGGAAGCCAUUAGGGACUGUACCAUGCACCCCGGCCCAGAUGCUGCGCUUUUCCCACGGUCUUCGCAACCCACAGACCAGGAGAUUCCCUCCGAAGCCUACACCACCAGGGCCCUGGGUUUCCAGCACAAAACUGGGCGGCCUUUAGGGCAGACACCGAGCUAGCCAGUUUUUUUUUUUUCAUACCCCAGUGGUAGCGUUUGAGUUUUUUUCUUGCCCCAGUGGUGCCAGGAAUGCCAACAAGACAGAAACAUUCACUCCCCUGGAAAGGGGGCUGAAGCCAGGGAGCCAAGAGGUCUGGCUUGGUGGGUCCCACCCCCACGGAGCCAAGCAAGCUAAGAUCCACUGGAUUGAAAUUCUUGUGCUAGUAUAGCAGACUGAGCUCGACCUGGGAUGCUCGAGCUUGGUUGGGGGAGGGGCGUCUGCCAUUGCUAAGGCUUGAGUAGAUGGUUUUACCCUCACAGUGUAAACAAAGCCGCUGGGAAGUUAGAACUGGGUGGAGCCCACUGCAUUUCAGCAAGGUUGCUACCCGCAGACUGCCUCUCUAGAUUCCCUCCUCUCUGGGUAGGGCAUCUCUGAAAAAAAGGCAGUAACCCCAGUCAGGGACUUACAGAUAAAACCGUCACCUCCCGGGACAGAGCACCUAGGGGAAGGGGUGGUUGUGGGCACAGCUUCAGCUGUCCCUAACUGGCAGCUCUGAAGAGAGCAGCAUAUCUCCCAGCACAGCGUUCAAGCUCUGAUAAGGGACAGUCUGCCUCCUCAAGUGGGUCCCUGACCCCCAUGUAUCCUAACUGGGAGACACCUCCUAGUAGGGGCCAACAGAUACCUCAUACAGGAGAGCUCUGGCUGGCAUCUGGUGGGUGCCCCUCUGGAAUGAGGCAUCCAGAGGAAGGAACAACAGCCUGCAGCCCCCGCCAGUGAUACCCAGGCAAACAGGGUCUGGAGCAGACCUCCAGCAGACUCCAGCAGACCUGCAGCAGAGGGGCCUGACUGUUAGAAGGAAAACUAACAAACAGAAAGGCAUAGCAUCAACAUCAACAAAAAUGACGUCCACUCAGAGACCCCAUCCAAAGGUCACCAACUUCAAAGACCAAAGGUACAUAAAUCCACGAAGAUGGGGAGAAACCAGCACAAAAAGGCUGAAAAUUCCAAAAACCAGAACACCUCUUCUCCUCCAAAGGAUCACAACUCCUUGCCAGCAAGGGAGCAAAACUGAAAGGAGAAUGAGUUUGACGAAUGACAGGAGUAGGCUUCAGAAGGUAGGUAAUAACAAACUCCUCCGAGCUAAAGGAACAUGUGCUAACCCAAUGCAAGGAAGUUAAGAACGCUGAAAAAAGGUUAGAUGAAUUGCUAACUAGAAUAACCAGUUUAGAGAAGAACAUAAAUGGUCUGAUGGAGCUGAAAAACACAGUACAAGAACUUCAUGAAGCACACACAAGUAUCAACAGCCGAGUCGAUCAAGCAGAAGAAAGGAUAUCAGAGAUUGAAGAUCAACUCAAUGAAAUAAAGCGUGAAGACAAGAUUAGAGGGAAAAAAGUGAAAAGAAAUGAACAAAGCCUCCAAGAAAUAUGGGACUAUGUGAAAAGACCAGAUCUUUGUUUGAUUGGUAUACCUGAAAGUGACGGGGAGAAUGGAACCAAGUUGGAAAACAUUCCUCAGGAUAUUAUCUAGGAGAACUUCCCCAACCUAGCAAGGCAGGCCAACAUUCAAAUUAAGGAAAUGGGACACCAGAAAGAUACUCCUUGAGAAAAGCAACGCCAGGACACAUAAUUUUCAGAUCACCAAGGUUGAAAUGAAGGAAAAAAUGUUUAGGGCAACCAGAGAGAAAGGUUGGGUUACCCAUAAAGGGAAGCCCAUCAGACUAACAGCAGAUCUCGGCAGAAACCCUACAAGCCAGAAGAGAGUGGGGGCCAAUAUUCAACAUUCUUAAAGGAAAGAAUUUUCAAUCCAGAAUUUCAUAUCCAGCCAAACAAAGCUUCAUAAGCGAAGGAGAAGUAAAAUCCUUCACAGACAAGGAAAUGCUGAGACAGUUUGUCACCACCAGGCCUGCCUUACAAGAACUCCUGAAGGAAGCACUAAACAUGGAAAGGAACAACCGGUACGAGCCACUGCAAAAACUUACCAAAUUGUAAAGACUAUCAAUGCUGUGAAGAAACUGCAUCAACUAACGGGCCAAAAUAACAGCUAGCAUCAUAUUGGCAGGAUGAAAUUCACACAUAACAAUAUUAACCUUAAAUGUAAACAGGCUAAAUGCCCUAAUUAAAAGACACAGACUGGCAAAUUGGAUGAAGAGUCAAGACCCAUCAGUGUGCUGUAUUCAGGAGACCCAUCCCACAUGGAGAGACACACAUAGGCUCAAAAUAAAGGGAUGGAGGAAAAUUUACCAAGCAAAUGGAAAGCAAAAAAAAAAAAAAAAAAAACCCAGGGGUUGCAAUCCUAGUCUCUGAUAAAACAGCCUUUAAACUACAGAGAUCAAGAGACAAAGAAGGGCAUUACAUAAUGGUAGAGGGAUCAGUGCAACAAGAAGAGCUAACUAUCCUAAAUAUAUAUGCACCCAAUACAGGAGCACCCAGAUUCAUAACACAUGUUCUUAGAGACCUACAAAGAGACUUAGACUCCCACACAAUAAUAGUGGGAGACUUUAACACCCCACUGUCAAUAUUAGAUCAAUGAGACAGAAAGUUAACAAGGAUAUCCAGGACUUGAACUUAGCUCUGGACCAAGCGGACCUAAUAGAACUCUUCACCACAAAUCAACAGAAUAUACACUCUUCUCAGCACCACAUAGCACUUAUUCUAAAAUUGAUCACAUAAUUGGAAGUAAAACACUCCUCAGCAAAUGCAAAAGAAUGGAAAUCAUAAUGGUCUCUCAGACCACAGUGCAAUCAAAGUAGAACUCAGGACUAAGAAACUCACUCAAAACCACACAACUAUGUUGAAACUGAACAACCUGCUCCUGAAUGACUACUGGGUAAAUAACGAAAUGAGGGCAGAAAUAAAGAUGUUAUUUGAAACCAAUGAGAACAAAGACACAACGUACUAGAAUCUCUGGGACACAUUUAAAGCAGUGUGUAGAGGGAAAUUUAUAGCACUAAAUGCCCACAAGAGAAAGCAGGAAAGAUCUAAAAUCGACAUCCUAACAUCACAAUUAAAAGAACUAGAGAAGCAAGAGCAAACAAAUUCAAAAGCUAGCAGAAGACAAGAAGUAACUAAGAUCAGAGCAGAAAAGGAGAUAGAUACACGAAAAACCCUUUAAAAAAUAAAUGAAUCCAGGAGCUGGGGUUUUGUUUUUUAUUUUGUUUUGUUUUGAGACGGAGUCUGGCUCUGUCGCCAGGCUGGAGUGCAGUGGUGUGAUCUCGGCUCACUGCAAGCUCCGCCUCCCGAGUUCAUGCCAUUCUCCUGCCUCAGCCUCCCGAGUAGCUGGGACUAUGAGUAGCUGGGACUACAGGCGCCUGCCAACACACCCGGCUAAUUUUUUGUAUUUUUAGUAGAGACAGGGUUUCACCGCGCUAGCCAGGAUGGUCUCGAUCUCCUGAUCUCGUGAUCCGCCCGCCUCGGCCUCCCAAAGUGCUGGGAUUACAGGCGUGAGUCACCACGCCCGGCCCAGGAGCUGGUUUUUUGAAAAGAUCAACAAAAUAGAUAGACCACUAGUGAGAAUAAUAAAGAAGAAAAGAGAGAAGAAUCAAAUAGAUGCAAUAAAAAAUGAUAAAGGGGAUAUCACCACUGAUCCCACAAAAAUACAAACUACCAUCAGAGAAUACUGUAAACACCUCUACACAAAUAAACCAGAAAAUCUAGAAGAAAUGGAUAAAUCGCUGGACAUGUACACCCUCCCAAGACUAAACCAAGAAGAAGUCAAAUCCCUGAAUAGACCAAUAACAAGUUCUGAAAUUGAGGCAGCAAUUAAUAGCCUACCAACCAAAAAAAGUCCAGGACUGGAUGGAUUCACAGCUGAAUUCUACCAGAGAUACAAAGAGGAGCUGGUACCAUUCCUUCUGAAACUAUUCCAAACAAUAGAAAAAAAGGGACUCCUCCCUAACUCAUUUUAUGAGGCCAGCAUCAUCCUGAUACCAAAACCUGGCAGAGACACAACAAAAAAAGAAAAUUUCAGGCCAAUAUCCCUGAUGAACAUCAAUGCGAAAACCCUCAAUAAAAUACUAGCAAACCGAAUCCAGCAGCAUAUCAAAAAGCUUAUCCAUCUCAGUCAAGUCGGCUUCAUCCCUGGGAUACAAGGCUCAUUCAACAUAUGCAAAUCAAUAAACGUAAUCCAUCACAUAAACAGAACCAAUGACAAAAACCACAUGAUUAUCUCAAUAGAUGCACAAAAGGCCUCGACAAAAUUCAACAGUGCUUCAUACUAAAAACUCUCAAUAAACUAGGCAUUGAUGGAAUGUAUCUCAAAAUAAUAAAGAGCUAUUUAUGGCAAACCCACAGCCAAUAGCAUACUGAAUGGGCAAAAACUGGAAGCAAUCCCUUUAAAAAACCAGCACAAGACAAGGAUGCCCUCUCUUACCACUCCUAUUCAACAUAGUAUUAGAAGUUCUGGCCAGGGCAAUCAGGCAAGAGAAAUAAAUAAAGGGUAUUCACUUAGGAAAAGAGCAAGUCAAAUUGUCUCUAUUUGCAGAUGACAUGAUUGUAUGUUUAGAAAACCCCAUCGUGUCAGCCCAGAAUCUCCUUAAGCUGAUAAGCAAAUUCAGCAAAUUCUCCAGAUACAAAAUCAAUGUGUAAAAAUCACAGGCAUUCCUAUACACCAAUAACAGACAAACGGAGAGCCAAAUCAUGAGUAAACUCCCAUUCACAGUUGUUACUAAGAGAAUAAAAUACCUAGGAAUAAAACUUACAAGAGAUGUGAAGGACCUCUUCAAGGAGAACUACAAACCACUGCUCAAGGAAAUAAGAGAGGACACAAACAAAUGGAAACAUUAUUCCAUGCUCAUGGAUAGGAAGAAUCAAUUUUGGGCUAUACUGCCCAAACUAAUUUAUAGAUUCAAUGCUGUCCCCAUCAAGCUACUAUUGACUUUCUUCACAGAAUUGGAAAAAACUACUUUGAAUUUCACAUGGAACCAAAAAAGAGCCUGCAUAGCCAAGACAAUCCUAACCAAAAAGAACAAAGCUGGAGGCAUCACGCUACCUGACUUCAAAGUAUACUACAAGGCUACUUUGUUACUACAAGGCUGUUUUGUUACUACAAAAACAGCAUGGUACUUAUACCAAAACAGAUAUAUAGACCAAUGGAACAGAACAGAAGCCUCAGAAAUAACGCCACACAUCUACAACCAUCUGAUCUUUGACAAACCUGACAAAAACAAGCAAUGGGGAAAGGUUUCCCUAUUUAAUAAAUGGUGUUGGGAAAACUGGCUAGCCAUAUGCAGAAAGCUGAAACUAGAUCCCUUCCUUAUACCUUAUACAAAAAUUAACUGAAGAUGGAUUAAAGAUUUAAAUGUAAGACAUAAAACCAUGAAAACCCUAGAAGAAAACCUAGGCAAUACCAUUCAGGACAUAGGCAUGGGCAAGGACUUCAUGUCUAAAACACCAACAGCAAUGGCAGCAAAAGCCAAAAUUGACAAACAGGAUCUGACUAAACUAAAGAGCUUCUGCACAGCAGAAGAAACAAUCAUCAGAGUGAACAGACAACCUACAGAAUGGGAGAAAAUUUUUGCAAUUUACUCAUCUGACAAAGGGCUAAUAUCCAGAAUCUAUAAAGAACUAAAACAAAUUUACAAGAAAAAAAAAAAACCCAUCAAAAAGUGGGCAAAGGAUAUGAACAGACACUUCUCAAAAGAAGAUAUUUAUGCAGCCAACAGACAUGAAAAACAGCUCAUCAUCACUGAUCAUUAGAGAAAUGCAAAUCAAAACCACAAUGAGAUACCAUCUCACACCAGUUAGAAUAGCGAUCAUUAAAAAGUCAGGAAACAACAGAUGCUGGAGUGGAUGUGGAGAAAUAGGAACACUUUUACACUGUUGGUGGGAGUGUAUAUUAGUUCAACCCUUGUGGAAGACAGUGUGCCGAUUCCUCAAGGAUCUAGAACUAGAAAUACCAUUUGACCCAGCAAUCCCAUUACUGGGUAUAUACCCAAAGGAUUAUAAAUCAUUCUAUAAAGACACAUGCACAUGUAUGUUUAUUGCAACACUGUUCACAAUAGCAAAGACUUGGAACCACACCAGAUGCCUAUCAAUCAUAGACUGGAUAAAGAAAAUGUAGCAUAUAUACACCACAGGAUAUUAUGCAGCCAUAAAAAAGGAUGAGUUCAUGUCCUUUGCAGGGACAUGGAUGACGCUGGAAACCAUCAUUCUCAGCAAACUAACACAAGAACAAAAAACCAAACACUGCAUGUUCUCAUAAAUGGGAGUUGAACAGUGAGAACACAUGGACACAGGGAGGGGAACAUCACACACCAGGGCCUGUCGGUGGGUGGGGGAUAGGGAAGGGAUAACAUUAGAAGAAAUACCUAAUGUAGAUGACAGGUUGAUGGGUGCAGCAAACCACCAUGGCACAUGUAUACCUAUGUAACAAACCUGCACGUUCUGCACAUGUACCUACCUCGAACUUGAAGUAUAAUAAAAUAAAUACUUUCAACAUUAAAAAAAAGAAAAACGCCCUUAGGGAAUUGAGGACCUCGCACAAUCCUAAUUCUUCACCAAAAGCCACCUAGCAGACCUGCUAUUCAGACGAAUCUGACUUUUUUGGUAUUUUCAAACAACAGCCUCUUACCCUACUUCAAUGGCUAUUCUGAUGCCACUGCCGUGGCAGUAGUAGUUUCAGUCAAAUUUGUUUGCAUUUCUUAGAGUGACAUUAUUAAUUCCUGAAAAUGAUUUAACAGUAUCAAAAUGCCUGAAUAUAAAAGUUGAGCUAUGGUGUUUAUUCGGAAUUGAACCACUCCCUUGUCUUCUUGAAAAAAUAACAUAUUUCUUUUAGCUUUACUCUGUUGUAGUAAUAAUAAGAUAAGUGACUGCAGGUAGUCUUUUUGGGAGAAUUGUGUGCCGCCUAAACUUUCUAUUCUUUUUUUUUUUUUUUUCUUUCGAGACGGAGUUUUGCUCUUGUUGCCCAGGCUUGAGUGCAGUUGCACAAUCUCGGCUCACUGCAGCCUCUGCCUCCUAGGUUCAGGCGAUUCUCCUGCCUCAGCCUCCUGAGUAGCUGGGAUUACAGGUGCCCACCACCACGCCAGCUAAUGUUUUGUGUUUUUAGUAGAGACAGGGUUUCAUCAUGUUGGCCAGGCUCCUGGCCAAAUCUCAAACUCCUGACCUCAGGUGAUCCACCCGCCUCGGCCUCCCAAAGUGCAGGGAUUACAGGCGUGAGCCACUGCACCUGACCACCACCUAAACUUUCCAUGGCCACACUGUUACAGAUCCUUAUUCACGACAUACAAACAACCUUCUUCACUCAGCACUGGGCACCAAACUAUGUACUGUAUAGUCAUAGAAGCAGAGGCUAUGACUUUUAUUUAUUUAUUCAUUCAUUCAUUCAUUCAUUCAGCAGAUUGUAGUAUCUUCUACUGAUGGUGGGCUGGAUACUUCUUAGGCACCACAUUGGGCCUAUUGCAUCAUGGGCUCAUAGUAAAAGUUCCAUAUGUCCAGGAAUGAUGUAAAGCCAACAAUGGAAUAAUGCAAGCAACUAUUUUUCUAGAAGAAAUAGACUUUACCAGAAUGCCAAAAUGGGCUGCUAAAGGAAGGGCAGCCCAUCAGUGCUGUCACCAGCUCCUGAAACCCCGGGGCCUGUUUACUCCCACCAUUGCAGUGGAGGACAUGUCUGAGCCUCCUGCUUGGCUUUAACCCCCACAUUAGUUCCUUUGUUGUUUCAGCGUAAGUAGCUUGGGUAAUGUGCAGAGAAUUUCUUUGCCUUGUAUUAUUUAUGCUGAGAAUCAACUGGUUGGGUCGUCAGUUCCUAGGCAGAGGCUAAUGGGAAGGUGAUCUAUAGAGUGUGAUAGAAGACAAUCUAGCUUUCUUGCUGCAUCUUCUCUUCCUUCAGAACGUCAGCUUCUCUUUUCCCUCCCAACUCCCAGUAGGAUAUUCCUGAUUGAAAGAAAGGCCAAGAGGAGAGAAUGAGAUCUAGCAAAAUUGUAAACAAAGGAACAGAGCCACAAACCUGUUUUACAUUCAUAUAAAAUGUUACAUUGAUUGAUUAAACAGUUUAAAAAUAUCUUCAUAGUAUAUGGUACCUUUGAUCAUAAAACCAGGUCAUGUUAAGGUGACCUCUAUUGAAGAGUUCUAUUUAGGGUUACUGUGUGCCAACCACCCUCAUUAAAAUAGUCACAGAUGUAAGUAGAGGAAACCAGAUAAAAGGAAAGAUCUCUGUCUGCUUCCCCGUAGUAAUCCUUACAUAGCAUAACUUGAGUUAAGAACAGCCAGAUGGAAGAGAUAAUGGGGCAAGGUGUGGGGAAACAGAGCAGAGCUUCUCUCCUCUGGAAGCGCCACCCUCCCAGCACCUCCAUAUGUUCAGCAACCCAGAAGUUCCCCUAAACUCUGUCCUAUUGAGUUUUUAUGGAGGCUUCUUUUCAUAGGCAUGAUUGAUUUGAUCAUUGACCACAGCUCCUCUCCCUUCCAAGGGGUUGGGGCUGGAGCUGAAAGUUGCAGCCUUCUUAUUGCAUGGUUGAUUCUCCAGCAGCCACCCCCACACCUGUCACAUUAGCCUACAAAAGACACUUACCACUUCAGAGAGUCCAAGAGUUUUAGGAGUCCUGUGCCAGGAAAUGGGGGCGGAGACCAAGAAUAGAUUUAUUAUUAAAAGUCACAAUAUCACAGGCAGUUUCUUUAAAACCUAAGCAUUCACUUACCAUACAACUCAGCAAUUUUACUGUUGGGCAUUUAUCCCAGAGAAAUAAAAAUAUAUUCAAUACAGAAAUUUCUAUAGUUUCAUUCACAGUGCCACAAAUUGGAAGGAAAGUACUUAAAUGCCCUUCAGCGGGUGAACAGUGAAACAAACUAUGCAUCCAUGUCAUGGAAUACUACUUGGCAGUAAACAAGAGCAAACUGUGGACAUGUGGAGCAACUUGGAUUGGUCUCAGGGCAUUGUGCUGAAUGAAAAGCCUUAAGAUGUCAUAUGAACGAUUCCAUUUGGUAACAUUCUUUAAAUAACAGAAUCAUAUAAAUGAAAAACACAUGAGUGGUUGCCAGAGGUUAGGAGUGUUGGAGUGUGCAGAGGUAUGUGAUGGUCAGAGAUAACAUGAAAGAGAAGUCUGUGGUGAUGGAAUAGUCCUGUAACUUGAUAGAAGCUGUUGUUACAGGAAGCUGCCCAUGUGAUGAAAUGACAGAGACCCGCACACAUGCAUUGCUGCAAUGUCAGGUUCCUGGUUUUGCUCCUGUACUGUAGUCACGUAAGAUGUGAGCACUGGGGAGACUGUGAGGGAGAAUUCUGAGCAGAAGGCUCAUGUGGCUUCCUGCCUCCUACCAUGCCACCCCCACCGGAUGCAUUAAAUUUCUGGUCUGAGUCAGCCUGCCUCUGUCCUCAUCCAUCUGUCUGUCUGUCUCUUUCUUUCCCUCCCUCCCUGCCUCCUCACUGUUUCACAUGGUCAUUGUAAAAAAGAAAACUAAAAAAUUAGGAAAUGUAGAUAAAUUGAAAGGAAAAAUUUUAAACCAUGAGGUUGUUCCUUUCUUAUUUAAAUAUGGUGGUUCCCUUGUUUCAUGAGCCAUAGGCUUUGGGCCUGGGCAGGAUCUGUAGCCCACAGCCUUUGAGUUCUUGACCUAUCCUCUGAGAUUUUUAGGGUUCAAAGUAGAAAGACUUGGUCCCCUGCUUCCAGUCCUGUCUGGUACCCACUCCCUCAUCUUUUCUGGCUAACCAUUGUGCUUCCCAGUAAUUAUGUUUAACAUUUUCUCACACAGGGAUUAACAACAUAGGCUCUGGACUCAGAGUGCCUAGGUUUAAAUCUUGACUCCACCACCUCCUUAGUAGUUAUUCAGUCUCUUUGUGCCUCAGUUUCUUCAUUUGUAACUAACACCUAUCUCGGAAGCCGUGGGAAGGAUUAAGGGAUGUGAUAGGAAGCACUCACUGACUCUUGGAUAUCAUUAUUUAUGGUUGUUACUUGGUGUCUCUGGCUGCAUUUUGUUUGUCGCUGCUGGUUCCGUGACUGUCCAUCAGUGUGCCUUGUGCCUGUUCUGUAGAUUUUAUUUCACAGUCUCUUGGUUUUGGUGGGUGGCACGCUGCCCUGAGAGGACGGGGACGUGAGAAAGAUUCUGAGCCCUUUAGUUGUCUCUAGUGCUACAUCAUGAUUGUCAUGAUUGCUGUAAACCAAAAAGUAUAUGAGACAAGUCUUACUCAAUUUAGAACAUGUAUUUUGCCAAAGUUAAUGACGCACCCAUGACACAGCCUCAGGAGGUCCUGACAACAUGCGCCCCGGAGUGGUCGGGGUACAGCUUGCUUUUAUACAUUUCAGGGAGACAUGAGACAUCAAUCAAUAUAUGUAAGAUGUACAUUGGUUCAGUCCAGUAAGGUGGAACAAUUCGAAGUAGGGGGUUUCCAGGCCAGAAGUAGAUAAGAGACAAAAAGUUGCAUUCUUUUGAGUCCUUGAUCAGCCUUCCGAUGAAUACACAAUUGUGUCUGGCUCAGUGAACCUACAUUUUUACGUGAACAAUAGGGUAGAGGAAGCAAUCAGUUAUGCAUUUGUCUCAGGUGAGCCUCAAAGGGAUGACUUUGAGUUGUGUCUGUCCUUUUUCCAUAAGGAGUUUUCUUGCGGGCAAAUGGUGAGGGAGGGAUGUAGGUUGUUAUCUUUGUAGCGAUCUUAUUUAGCAAUAAAACAGGAGGCAAGUUUGCCUGACGUAGUUUCCAGCUUGACUUUUUCCUUGGCUUAGUGAUUUAGUUUCCUUUCGCAUUGCUAACUCAAUCACAGGACACAGGAGUGUGGACUGAAUAUAGCAAGAAUGCCAAAGUAUGUAACAGCUUCCUUAGUCAUGAUAGAGACUGAGAAACAUCGGCUCACCUAAGCUUUGAGGUUAGCUGGAGUCCAGUAGAAGAGUUAUAACUAAACACCGGCCCUUGUCUGUUUCCACUUGUGCCCAUUCAUUGAAGCUGAGAUUGGACUGAGUACAUUUGUGACUAUGUACCAGUAGCAAAGGUGAUAGAAGUCAAACAUAGCUCUUAGUUUUAGGGGCUCAUGGCCUCCUGGGGAAGGGACCCAUCGGGCAUAGCUGGCAGUCAUGGCCAGGGUUGUGGAAGCCCAGGUCCGGGCAGGGUUCACAUGCUCCUCAGAGUGUGCCAGCAGCCUCAGCCUCAGGGAGAGCUUGUCAGGGGAUGUUUUACAAGGUCUCCAAAAGCCUCUUAUGCCCUCCAGAGUGAAAAGCACGGCAUUGUUGAUGAAUUCUUGUGGCAAAUAUGCAAGGCACGUGUGGGUAUUUCUUUCUCUUGGAGGCUUACAAGGUAGCCCCGGUAUCCUGGUGCAGUGUUUAUAGCAUAGUCCACUGGGACUGCCGCUCUGACAAAGACUGUGUCACUACUUUGUGGAAUGUUUUUUAGAACUUCCAGAAUGCCUCAGUAAAUCCUGACUGCCAUGUAACUGUGUACUGUGCUGCUGAGCUCUUAACAUGAAGCAGCAGCAGUGACCCUGGCGGGCCAGGCUGACGUGCGUGGGAACAGGGGGAGUGACCCUGGCUGGGAAGCAGGGAGGCCUGGAUAUUGUUUCUCCUGGCUCUGUGUCUUGCCAUUCUCGUCCCUGUGCUCAGAGCUCUCAAGCACCCACGAUGGCCUUCUCAGGCCGAGCGCGCCCCUGCGUUAUCCCAGAGAACGAAGAAAUCCCCCGAGCAGCCCUUAACAGUGUCCACGAGGCCAAUGGGACCGAGGAUGAGAGGGCUGUUUCCAAACUGCAGCGCAGGCACAGUGACGUGAAAGUCUACAAGGAGUUCUGUGACUUUUAUGCGAAAUUCAACAUGGCCAACGCCCUGGCCAGCGCCACUUGCGAGCGCUGCAAGGGCGGCUUUGCGCCCGCUGAGAAGAUCGUGAACAGUAAUGGGGAGCUGUACCAUGAGCAGUGUUUCGUGUGCGCUCAGUGCUUCCAGCAGUUCCCAGAAGGACUCUUCUAUGAGGUGAAUUCAUCAUUGGCCGAGUUAUCAAAGCCAUGAAUAACAGCUGGCAUCCGGAGUGCUUCCGCUGUGACCUCUGCCAGGAAGUUCUGGCAGAUAUCGGGUUUGUCAAGAAUGCUGGGAGACACCUGUGUCGCCCCUGUCAUAAUCGUGAGAAAGCCAGAGGCCUUGGGAAAUACAUCUGCCAGAAAUGCCAUGCUAUCAUCGAUGAGCAGCCUCUGAUAUUCAAGAACGACCCCUACCAUCCAGACCAUUUCAACUGCGCCAACUGCGGGAAGGAGCUGACUGCCGAUGCACGGGAGCUGAAAGGGGAGCUAUACUGCCUGCCAUGCCAUGAUAAAAUGGGGGUCCCCAUCUGUGGCGCUUGCCGACGGCCCAUCGAAGGGCGCGUGGUGAACGCCAUGGGCAAGCAGUGGCAUGUGGAGCAUUUUGUUUGUGCCAAGUGUGAGAAACCCUUUCUUGGACAUCGCCAUUAUGAGAGGAAAGGCCUGGCGUAUUGUGAAACUCACUAUAACCAGCUAUUUGGUGAUGUUUGCUUCCACUGCAAUCGUGUUAUAGAAGGUGAUGUGGUCUCUGCUCUUAAUAAGGCCUGGUGUGUGAACUGCUUUGCCUGUUCUACCUGCAACACUAAAUUAACACUCAAGAAUAAGUUUGUGGAGUUUGACAUGAAGCCAGUCUGUAAGAAGUGCUAUGAGAAAUUUCCACUGGAGCUGAAGAAAAGACUUAAGAAACUAGCUGAGACCUUAGGAAGGAAAUAAGUUCCUUUAUUUUUUCUUUUCUAUGCAAGAUAAGAGAUUACCAACAUUACUUGUCUUGAUCUACCCAUAUUUAAAGCUAUAUCUCAAAGCAGUUGAGAGAGAAGAGGACCUAUAUGAAUGGUUUUAUGUCAUUUUUUUAAUUAAAAAAGAAAAAUUCAUAUAAUCGUGUUUAAAACACAAAUGAAGUCAGUAUUUGCCUUUGUUAACCCUUAUCCAUUUGUUGACAUGUAGACUGUUUACAAAAAAAAAACACAUGGUUAAAUGUUAAAUUUUAAUUAAGGCCCCCAAAAAUUAAAUAUAACUUUUUAAAAUGAAAGGAGUCACCUUUUACAUGACUCAGGUGAAAAAACAGUAUAAACAUUAAUUUACUUUGUGUUCAAAAGAAAAUUCCAACUGCUGUUGGGGAAGGACACAGAAAAGAAAAAUAACCACCCAAGAAAAACAAAAACAAGAAAAACAAAUCUUAUACAAUCUUAGUAUAUUUAUCAAACUAGUAGCUAGAAAGUGAAUAUGCACAUUACUAAGACAAAAAACAAGUGUAAUUCAGAACUACUUGAUUUUUUUUAGUUAAAUGCAGUAAUUAUUAUGCUUAGUUUUAUAACCUGCUCUCCUUGUGAAUUCUUCCUUCAAAUGAUUACUUAACGCAGUAGUAAUAGCUAGCUAGUAGGAUGUCCUUUAAAUUUUUGUGCAAAAAAAAUUUAUACCAGGUAUUUGGAAAUAUACUUUACAAUAUUGGAAAAUGAAGUAUUUUUAAUGUAUUACAGCAAUUAUGUUUCUAAGCUUAAUGUUAAGCAUGUAGUCUUAGAAUAGGACAUGAAAUUAAAUUGUAUGUAGCUUGGAAUAUAUUGCUUCAGAAAACUGAAUGUGUAUGUCGGUCAUAUUGCCUUUAUAACCAUGCUAAUAUCUAUGCUUUAUACAUACUCAAACUUGCCUUGCCUUAAAAAAAUACAUACUACAUACUUAAAUCAGGAAUUCUAGCCAUCUCACAGAAUACCAACUAAAACUAAGUGCAUUGAGAUCUGAGAUUGGUAAACCCAGAUUCAUUUACCACAGCUGUAAUUAAGUUUUUAGAAACUCUAUUCUCUUCUUUUUGGGGAAAUCCAUUGAAGUUAAUUUCUGUUAUCUUAUUAGAAGAAAAUGAUGUUGAUAUGUGUUUCAGAUUUUCCAUUUCAAAUCUUAUAAUUAAUUUGAUUUAUUUACUAUAAGUAGGAGGUAUAAAUGACACUCUUAAAUUGGAAGGAGGGGUGUUUUAGUGUCUGUUUUAGGUCAAAAUUAGUGAUUUUAUUUUUAUCAAAAGUUUUAUCCUGAAGUUUCAGGACCACUCUUCCUUAAUAAACUUGUUAAUGGAAAGCGAGCUUUAUGAACAUUUAAAAAUGUUGCUGCUGCUUUGUUACUUAAAAAGAAAGUUGCCAAGAGAGACUUCUUAGGGAAAAUAUUUGGGGUUUUUUUUCCAAAAAUUGCUGAAAUAUUGUUUUGCCAUUUUUAAAAAGUCUCAGGUUAUUACCACUCUGCCAUUAAAUAUUUGUAUGCCUGCAUUUUUAAAAAUUCUGUGCAUGUACUUUAUGGAGUACAUUUUAUUUUUGUUUUCAGAUACCCUACAACCAUUUUUUUUUAGUAAUCUUUUAGAAUUAAAAUUAUCAUAAAUGAUUGAAAAUAAUCAUCACAUAGUUUAAGAUUGUAUAUGUUCAGUGGUUUAAAACAAUCUUUGCAUUUGACAGUAAGAAUCAAAGUCCCUUCAGUGUGCCUUUGUCAGCUAAUAUGUGACCAGCAAUGACAACCUUGGGAGUAUUUAUUAAAUAUUAUGCUAUGAAUAUAGGCAACAUAGGACAGGGUUUGCAGUAUAGCGUCUUGAUGCUAAAUUCUCAUAUACCUCUACACGAGAAAUAUGGAGGAGAAAAACAAGCAUUUACAUAUAUUCUUCGUCACUUUGAAGAUGCAUGGCCUGAACUCGACUGUUUGUGUUUGUUUACAUAUCAGGCAUAGCCAGGCAUCUCCUGCAGCCAGAGGUUCCAUUGCUGUCUUUGCUCAGUCCUCUUUUAAAAUAUGAAUUAGUGGACAGGCACGGUGCCUCACACCUGUAAUCCCAGCACUUUGGGAGGUCGAGGCAGGUGGAUCACGAGGUCAGGAGAUCAAGACCAUCCUGGCUACCACUGAAACCCCAUCUCUACUACAAAAAAAUUAGCCAGGCGUGGUGGCGGGCACCUGCAGUCCCAGCUACUCGGGAGGCUGAGGCAGGAGAAUGGUGGGAACCCGGGAGGCAGAGCUUGCAGUGAGCCAAGAUCGCACCACUGCACUCCCGCCUGGGCAACAGAGCAAGACUCUGUCUCAAAAAAAAUAAAUAAAUUAUGAAUGAGUAUUUUCUAGAAAUUCAACUUGCUAAGCCUGUAAUACUUAAGGGUAGUUUAUCUAGAUACAGUACUUUCUUCCCUGAUAAGUAGUAUCAUUGGAGCCCUUAGGUAUAGGAGAAGAGGAAGAAGUUUAAAAAGUGUAAGUGGGCCGGGCGUGGUGGCUCAUGCCUGUAAUCCCAGCACUUUGGGAGGCCGAGGGGGGCGGAUCACGAGGUCAGGAGAUUCCAUACUAUCCUGGCUAACAAGGUGAAACCCCGUCUCUACUAAAAAUACAAAAAAAAACAUUAGCCAGGCGUGGUGGCAGGCGCUUGUAGUCCCAGCUACUCGGGAGGCUGAGGUAGGAGAAUGGCUUGAACCCAGGAGGUGGAGCUUGCAGUGAGCCGAGAUCGCGCCACUGCACUCCAGCCUGGGCGACAGAGCAAGACUCCGUCUCAAAAAAAAAAAAAAAAAGUGUAAGUGGAUUAAAAGAGAAACUUGGUCUAGUUCAUAAUAUUUUUAAUAGGGCUUUCCCUGGCUGCUGGAAAACUUAGGCCAGUAAGCAUCUCUUUGUUUAAAGUCCUACAAGACAAUUUGAAAUAAUUCAUUGCCAAAAUUCUAAGUACUGUUUUUCUUAGCAAGUGUAAUAUAAUCGGGAAAAAUGGGUACAAGUAGAACAUUCUUUGGAUCAUAUUCAAAGCCUUAUUAGCACUGCACCUGAAUAAUAGGUCAUUUUGCCUCACUCAUUUGCCAAAGUAGCCAUUUCUAAGUUAAGGAAGUUUUUAGGUAGGCUCAUAGCCUUGUAUUUCGUUUUAGAGUGUAAGCUCAAUGGCAGGGAUACUAUAUCGGUAAUUGUGUUUUCAUAUAGCAACCACCACAGUAUAUUCUUGGUGCUUAAUAAAUGUUUAUAAUUGUUAACAAUAA